AACGAACGCUGGCGGCAUGCCUAACACAUGCAAGUCGAACGAGUGCCUUCGGGUGCUAGUGGCGCACGGGUGCGUAACGCGUGGGAAUCUGCCCUUUGGUUCGGAAUAACAGUUGGAAACGACUGCUAAUACCGGAUGAUGACGAAAGUCCAAAGAUUUAUCGCCAGAGGAUGAGCCCGCGUAGGAUUAGCUAGUUGGUGUGGUAAAGGCGCACCAAGGCGACGAUCCUUAGCUGGUCUGAGAGGAUGAUCAGCCACACUGGGACUGAGACACGGCCCAGACUCCUACGGGAGGCAGCAGUGGGGAAUAUUGGACAAUGGGCGAAAGCCUGAUCCAGCAAUGCCGCGUGAGUGAUGAAGGCCUUAGGGUUGUAAAGCUCUUUUACCCGGGAUGAUAAUGACAGUACCGGGAGAAUAAGCUCCGGCUAACUCCGUGCCAGCAGCCGCGGUAAUACGGAGGGAGCUAGCGUUGUUCGGAAUUACUGGGCGUAAAGCGCACGUAGGCGGCUUUGUAAGUUAGAGGUGAAAGCCUGGAGCUCAACUCCAGAACUGCCUUUAAGACUGCAUCGCUUGAAUCCAGGAGGGGUGAGUGGAAUUCCGAGUGUAGAGGUGAAAUUCGUAGAUAUUCGGAAGAACACCAGUGGCGAAGGCGGCUCACUGGACUGGUAUUGACGCUGAGGUGCGAAAGCGUGGGGAGCAAACAGG
rnacentral:rRNA from 1 species